GGUCCAGACUCCUACGGGAGGCAGCAGUGGGGAAUAUUGCACAAUGGGGGGAACCCUGAUGCAGCCAUGCCGCGUGAAUGAAGAAGGCCUUCGGGUUGUAAAGUUCUUUCGGUGAUGAGGAAGGGUGAUGUUUUAAUAGAGCAUUACAUUGACGUUAGUCACAGAAGAAGCACCGGCUAACUCCGUGCCAGCAGCCGCGGUAAUACGGAGGGUGCGAGCGUUAAUCGGAAUGACUGGGCGUAAAGGGCACGCAGG
rnacentral:rRNA from 1 species